rnacentral:rRNA from 1 species
CCAAUAGCGUAUAUUAAAGUUGUCGCAGUUAAAAAGCUCGUAGUUGAAUUUCGGGGUCAAUACGUCGGUCGUGCCUCGGUACGCACUAACGUUAUUGAUCCCUCCCUUCUGACGAACCGUGAUGUCAUUAAUUUGGUGUUGCGGGGAAUCAGGACUGUUACCUUGAAAAAAUUAGAGUGUUUAAAGCAGGCAAUCGCUCGAAUACAUUAGCAUGGAAUAAUGAAAUAGGACGUUCGAACCUAUUUUGUUGGUUUCUAGGAUCGACGUAAUGAUUAAUAGGGAUAGUUGGGGGCAUUAGUAUUCAAUUGUCAGAGGUGAAAUUCUUGGAUUUAUUGAAGACUAACUACUGCGAAAGCAUUUGCCAAGGAUGUUUUCAUUAAUCAAGAACGAAAGUUAGGGGAUCGAAGACGAUCAGAUACCGUCGUAGUCUUAACCAUAAACUAUGCCGACUAGGGAUCGGAUGAUGUUAAUUUUUUAAUGACUCAUUCGGCGCCUUACG